rnacentral:lncRNA from 1 species
GGAACAGUUUGCAUAUAUCAUAAUGCUUGGAUAAUUCCCUGAAUUGUCUACUUCAUAUUGCUUCUGUGGAUAUACCGAGAGUGUGGGCAGGAACUCCUGAAGGAGAUGAUAAUACCACACAUUUAUAAAGCACUUUAAAUUUUGCAAAAUGUUUUCCUCACAGCAACCCAAGGUAGGUAGUGUAAGUAUUACUCUUUCAUUUUUACAGAUGAAAAAAACUGAGGCUCUGAGAGGGAAGAGACUUUGCCUAUGAUCAACCACCUAAUGAGUGUCUGAGAUGGGAGUCAAACCCAGAUCUUCUAACUCCAUGCCUGGUAUUCUAUUCCCUAUGCCACACUGGCAAACUCUCCUGGCAAAAUCAGUCAGAAAGUUUAGGGAAUUAUCAAAGCUGAAAAUUCUCUUUCCUCUAUAUUGGGUGCAGGAACUAGCUCCUGGGAUAUAGUAUACAAGCCAGAGGAGAACAAGGAUACCAGACAGCAAUCUUUGCUUUUCAGACUACAUACCAAGUACUGGUUCAGAGAGUGGGUUCCUUGGAUAUCAAAUUCCAGAAACUAAAGCAAUAGUCCAUUUUGUUCACACACCAACUCAACUGGUUAAACAACUUUGUAACCCUGAGAUCACUGGCCUGGAACCAACAGUUAGUCCAUAAACCUUUUUGUUUGACAAGGCUUUAAAAAGUAAGAUUCCUUGCCCUGGCCACCUUCAAGGCUAUAAGGGAAAAAUUAUUCUUCCUUACCUCAAAGGCCCAGCAGCUUGAGGGAAGGCUUGACCUGCCGGGGUAAAGUAAAGAACAAUGCCAAGUCUUCUGAGUUCUUCAGGGCACAUUUGGGUUUUGCAUGAAGGCUCAAGACAGUUGCCUUGGUGACUCCACUGAGAAUAAAGAAGGAUCAAAUAAAGGAAAGCUGGAGAAU